rnacentral:rRNA from 1 species
ACACGCAUGACACACUGCAUAUCAAUAAGCGGAGGAAAAGAAACUAACAAGGAUUCCCCUAGUAACGGCGAGUGAAGCGGGAAGAGCUCAAAUUUGAAAUCUUCAAGGGUUUCCCUUGACGAAUUGUAGUUUAAAGAAGUGUUUUCUGUUAGAGAGGUGGUAAAAGUUCUUUGGAAUAGGACAUCAUAGAGGGUGAGAAUUCCGUAUUUGAUCACUUUCUACUAACGUUGUGAUACACUUUCAACGAGUCGGAUUGUUUGGGAAUGCAGUCCAAAAUGGGUGGUAAAUUUCAUCUAAAGCUAAAUAUUGGCGAGAGACCGAUAGCGAACAAGUACCGUGAGGGAAAGAUGAAAAGAACUUUGAAAAGAGAGUUAAACAGUACGUGAAAUUGUCAAAAGGGAAGCGUUUGACACCAGUGUUGUUUUUCCGAAAAUCAGUUACGAAUGUUUUAGUUUUUGAGGAGUUAUGACUUCAUCGGCUUGCUUCUCUCUUUAUGAAACUUUCUUAAUGCACUUUUCGGUUAACAAGUCAACAUCAAUUUCUUUUGUUGUAAAAGGGUAUGAGGAAGGUGGCUUUCUUUUCGGAGAAAGUGUUUAUAGCCUUGUAGCCUCUGCAAUCGGAGAGAUUGAGGUCUGCAGCGUAGAUCCUUCGGGGUUAGAUACAUUUGUGCUAAGGUAUAGUCUUUCAUAGACAACUUGUUGACUAUAAUUAAUCUUGUAACUUACUCGCUUAUGCUAUUUUACCUACGCUUAGGAUGUUGACUGAUAUGUAGUCGUA